rnacentral:rRNA from 1 species
AGUCGAGCGGGGUUUUCGGACCUAGCGGCGGACGGGUGAGUAAUGCGUAGGAAGCUGCCCGAUAGAGGGGGAUACCAGUUGGAAACGACUGUUAAUACCGCAUAAUGUCUACGGACCAAAGUGUGGGACCUUCGGGCCACAUGCUAUCGGAUGCGCCUACGUGGGAUUAGCUAGUUGGUGAGGUAAUGGCUCACCAAGGCGACGAUCUCUAGCUGGUUUGAGAGGAUGAUCAGCCACACUGGAACUGAGACACGGUCCAGACUCCUACGGGAGGCAGCAGUGGGGAAUAUUGGACAAUGGGCGCAAGCCUGAUCCAGCCAUGCCGCGUGUGUGAAGAAGGCCUUCGGGUUGUAAAGCACUUUCAGCGAGGAGGAAGGGAUUGUAGUUAAUAGCUGCAAUUUUUGACGUUACUCGCAGAAGAAGCACCGGCUAACUCUGUGCCAGCAGCCGCGGUAAUACAGAGGGUGCAAGCGUUAAUCGGAAUUACUGGGCGUAAAGCGCACGUAGGCGGUUGGUUAAGUUGGAUGUGAAAGCCCCGGGCUCAACCUGGGAAUUGCAUUCAAAACUGGCCAACUAGAAUACGGGAGAGGGGGGUAGAAUUCCAAGUGUAGCGGUGAAAUGCGUAGAGAUUUGGAGGAAUACCAGUGGCGAAGGCGGCCCCCUGGCCCGAUAUUGACG